GCGGAUAUGGCGGAACUGGCUGACGCAGUAGACUUAGAAUUUAUUGAGGCAACCCCGUGCAGGUUCAAUUUCUGUUAUCCGCA
rnacentral:tRNA from 1 species